rnacentral:hammerhead_ribozyme from 1 species
ACCAGCUGACGAGUCUCAAAUAGGACAAAAUGCACAUCCUGGAU